UUGAGUCCGAUUCGUCAACUGACACCGGCGGACCACAGGUGUUAUCUAAGAUGGCGGGGGAUACCACCCAUACCACCUACCACUACCGUCCUUUUUUCAACAUUUCAUUAUUAAUUAAUCAUGAAGCAAAGAAUGUAAUGGUUUUUCAUAUUGGUUGGUUAUAAAUCUUUUGGUUAAAUAUAACAGUGAUGUUAAAGUGUACAAAGUGUUCUCAAUAAAUUAAAUAUAUCAGCCAUAACCUCCAAUGAAUGCAUUUUGAAGUAAACCAGCUCAAUUUCCAUGCGAUAACAUUUUCUAAAAUCAAGUGAUCCGACCAAUACUCAUAAAAAUUGAUUGGGAAUUAGGAUAACAGUGAAGAAAGGGAUGUUUUCCAAGCUUCACCUCUUAGGAAAAUUGUGGUCAUGGAAGUAAGGACAACACAUCACUCACUGGGACCAUUCCCAUUCAAAACUAAGGACUCAAAAUUUUUGUACAUACGGAUAUAAUAGAGAGAUUAAUAGUGUAUACACUCAGAAAGGCCUAACUCGCGAAGUUAUGGCGUCAACAAUUCAUUCAUUCAAUCCUCAGCCCCCGUAGAAGGACCCCCGGACUACAAGACAGGGUCUUCGAAUGAGUCAACAGCUCAUAAGCAUUUAGUGUCAAAAUACAAGUUGAGAAGAACGAGGAGGACAACACGAGACUGAGCUACCACUAAUCAAGGACUUCCAUUUUCUAUGUGAAGGGGUUGGCCCUUGACCCUAUCGUCGUUUACUACCCUGAGGAACUCAAAUGGCCAUUAAGAUGUCCAAUCAGUCCUUUGCGGUUGAUGCACAGUCUGUUGUUGACUCUUUGCACGAAACCCUAUGUCAUGAGAAUGUAAUUAUGGAAUCGCGGAACGAAACCGCUGUUGCAGUGUUUCGUUCUGUUGACUGAUGUACUUGUUUGCAUCUGUGGGGCACACAUUUUUAAUGUUAAAAUUCGUCCGUCACCCACUGAAAAAUCAGCAAUAGAAUUAUGGAAAUGAGCUCAGUAUUUCACUUCCAGUCAACGAAAUAACAUCUCGUAUCCUUCGCUGAUUGGUGCAACACCUUGGAAAUUAGCGCAGAUUAUGGUAAAAGCACUAUGAUCUAUGAGCCUGCUAUUUUUCGUGGCUUCCUUAAAGAGACCUUUCUCUAUCAGAACACUGCACUAUAUUUAUAAUAGAUAUUGGAGCCUCCUUACCAAGUGCUUGUAUCUAGCUGAGGACAUUAAAAAUCAUAAUUGCGUAAAAUUCGUGUAAAAAUCCAAUUUUAGUUUCCAAAAAACUUGUCAUUGGAAAGUGGUAGAAAUUAACUCACAUGAAUAAUAAAUUGUAAUGACAACAUAUUCUCGUGGCAUUUUCACUCCACACAUAUUCUAAUGUAAUUUCCAGCAUUACAAUGCUCUACCCCAAGGUAAUUUGAUUUACUUUGAAAGGAAAGGUGAAUGAACAAACUUUGAUUAAAAAUUGAUAUUUGCAAGAACUGAAAAUGAACGCCAAUAAAUUUGAAAUUCUGAUGU